rnacentral:sRNA from 1 species
ACACACCUUACCUUCCUGAAAUUUGUUGUCGGUAAGAGAGAUUAAGGAAUCUUAUCUGAGAUCCUGAAAAUUCCGCCUUCUUCUUUGUUUCAAUUCCAAAAAUUCCGACUGACAAUUCUGUUGUAAUUAGUUAUUUCUUGAUGUGCUUCCCGCGAGUAUAAAUCAAU